UACGUAGGGACCGAGCGUUGCUCGGAAUCACUGGGCGUAAAGGGCGCGUAGGCGGACUUUUAAGUCGGAGGUGAAAGCCCAGGGCUCAAUCCUGGAAUUGCCUUCGAUACUGGGAGUCUUGAGUUCGGAAGAGGUUGGUGGAACUGCGAGUGUAGAGGUGAAAUUCGUAGAUAUUCGCAAGAACACCGGUGGCGAAGGCGGCCAACUGGUCCGAAACUGACGCUGAGGCGCGAAAGCGUGGGGAGCAAACAGG
rnacentral:rRNA from 1 species